rnacentral:rRNA from 1 species
UGGUGGGUAGUUUGACUGGGGCGGUCUCCUCCUAAAGAGUAACGGAGGAGCACGAAGGUUGGCUAAUCCUGGUCGGACAUCAGGAGGUUAGUGCAAUGGCAUAAGCCAGCUUGACUGCGAGCGUGACGGCGCGAGCAGGUGCGAAAGCAGGUCAUAGUGAUCCGGUGGUUCUGAAUGGAAGGGCCAUCGCUCAACGGAUAAAAGGUACUCCGGGGAUAACAGGCUGAUACCGCCCAAGAGUUCAUAUCGACGGCGGUGUUUGGCACCUCGAUGUCGGCUCAUCACAUCCUGGGGCUGAAGUAGGUCCCAAGGGUAUGGCUGUUCGCCAUUUAAAGUGGUACGCGAGCUGGGUUUAGAACGUCGUGAGACAGUUCGGUCCCUAUCUGCCGUGGGCGCUGGAGAAUUGAGGGGGGCUGCUCCUAGUACGAGAGGACCGGAGUGGACGCAUCACUGGUGUUCGGGUUGUCAUGCCAAUGGCACUGCCCGGUAGCUAAAUGCGGAAGAGAUAAGUGCUGAAAGCAUCUAAGCACGAAACUUGCCCCGAGAUGAGUUCUCCCUGACUCCUUGAGAGUCCUGAAGGAACGUUGAAGACGACGACGUUGAUAGGCCGGAUGUGUAAGCGCAGCGAUGCGUUGAGCUAACCGGUACUAAUGAACCGUGAGGCUUAACCUU